GAACUUUCUCGGCCGUCCUGCCGCUUCUCCCUGUGGCAGCUGAACUCUGCCUGUAUCUGUUGUUGGUCUUGCCUGAGAAUUUCUUGCCCAAGAGAUUUUACACCUACUUUUUCCAGAAUAAAUGGAUCUUUGUGCACUAGGGGCAAGAGGGUGUUUUAUCUCUCCGCAGGUAGCUCAAGGCUUAACUUGGCAGGAGAGAAGUUUCCGUGAAAGUCGGCAGGUUUUUUCCUGUUCUCCACAGCCGCUGAGGAUCUGCUCCAUACCUGUUUCAUCGAGGGGCAUUCUCUCUGAUUUCCUGCCCUGCCCCCAUCCUUUCCCAUGAGCGCCUGGAGAGGCAAACAAGAGCUCGAGAGAGAAGGAUAAAGUUUAGUAAGCAGCUUCAUUUUGAAUAACAGCGAAACUGAGACCUGCUAGAACAAGGUUCUUCACUUUUCGUUUUUUUCAUGUCUCAGCUUUAAACAAAAUUCUGCAUUGAGGCCUGGAGCACUUAUGCUUCUACGCUGAUAUUACCCGGCAGUCCCUAACGUGGAAUACCCUGAAUGAGCAACUCUGUUCCCCCACCGCACCCCCAUGUUCUGACACUCUUGUGCUCAUCAUCAAGCCCAAAACCUACUGAAGCUAAGGAUGUGUCUCUCCACUUCGCGGUCCCUGUGGUCAUCUGUGUCAUGCUGAGUAUCACGUGGGGAUCCCUAUUCCCCAAGAGCUGAGAUUGACGAUGCGUGUGUAAGUAACACAGAGAUGGCUUGUGGACUAUCUUCAGUAAUUAAAAACAGCCCCUGUUGCGUUAUUCCUAGACCACUCCCAUGUGUCAAACCAACUCAAUGUUCACGCCCAGGAACUAAAAAUAAAGGGCCAGGAGAAAUAUGAAAAAAGAAGCAAAUGGCAUGAAAUACCUCAAGUUGUUAUCUUCUGAUUCACUCACCUCCCCAAUUACCCUGUUUAUUCAUUUGGAAUAAAUGUGAUACAGCAGUUUCAGAGCUAACAGCUCCUAUUAAACAAUGACUCAGCUUUGUGAUUCCCCAACUUUCCUACUCUGGGGAGAGCCAGAAGAAAAGGGUUCUCUCUCAAAGAGAAUGGACCUCCGUCAACUACAGUUUCUUGUGCUACAAAUGGUAGCUGUUAACAAUAAUGCCUUUCAUAGAACCCUUGCGAGGAUCAAACUAGACAGCAAUAUGUAUAUAAGUUCCUUGCAAACUAUAAUGGUGCUAUGUUUCAUUGUGUUAUAAAUGUCUUGAGGUUUUUCAGGGAAGGGGGAUGACCGUGGUGUAGUGUUAUUCAACAAAUUCCUUAACGUUCUGAGUUUAGCAGUAAAGAGAACUGGAGAGUUAAUUUUAAUUUGUAUAUAAUGACAAAUGAAAUAGGUAAUAUUUGUAGAUACAGAUGACUUUACCAAUAAUGACAAUGUAGUGCAUAAAGGCACAUUGGGGCUUUAGGGUUACUUUGGCAAUUGCUGAUGCUAUUAUAUAUAUGUAAACUCAAAAGAGAGGCUCCCAUUAAAGAAAAAGAAUUCCCAGCCAAGAGGCUGGCCUGUUGGCGUAGUGGCUAAGUUUGUGCACUUCACUUCAGCGGCCCAGGGUUUUCCAGUUUGGAUCCUGGGUGUGGACCUAUGCGCCACUUAUCAAGCCAUGCUGUGGUGGCAUCCCACCUGGAAGAACUCACAACUAGGAAAUACAACUGUGUACUGGGGCUUUGGGGAGAAAAGAAAAGAGGAAGAUUGAUUACAGAUGUUGGCUCGGGGUGAUCUUCCUCACCAAGAAUGUCUGCAAACAAACAAAAAAACCUUUGGAUCAAAAUGAGUAUUUAAAAAAAAAUUCCCAGCCAAGAGUCACUUAAUCAAACCUUAUUUUUAAGAAUGGCAUUUGCUCAUUUUGUCGUCUUCAUUAUUCCCAUUCGUGUAACGUUGGAAGAAAAAAAUGAUGUCAGUUGGUAUUUCCAACCAUUUAGGCAUAAUCAGCAGCAGAUGUAAGAUUUGUAAGGAUGUAACAAUUCCUUCAAUAAUCCCCUGAAACUGCUUGUUCACUUCCAUUGCCUACAAAUAAAAGAGAAUUGCUCAUUAAUAAAACUGAAUAUCUCAAUAACACAGUGGGAUUGUAUUAUUUUAAUGUGCCAUUGUGAAUUGAUCAUGCAUUGCUUUUUAUUUUACUUUUGCUUUGGAAAGUGACAAUUCUGGUACCUUAAAUAGUCC
ensembl:lncRNA